GUCAGUAAAGUUUUGCUUCAGCCAUCUAACAAGUGUUUAUGAAACGCCCAUCAUGUCCCAGACCCUUCAGAUGACAAUGAGCAAGACCAAGUUCUUUCCUUCCUGGAAUAUUCUAGUGAGGUGAAACAUGAGGACCAUUGGCAGAGGAGGAGGAAGUAUCGUGACCCAGGAGCUGAUGGGGUGGAUAUAUGGGAUCAGGGUGAGAGAGAAAUCAAAGAUGAUUUCCAAAUUUAUAGCCUGAGUGGCUAUAAAUUUGAACAUCUGGCUGAGUGGUCUUGCCAUUUACUGAGUUGGGGGAAAUGAGGAGAGGAGAUUCUGGUAAGAAAAAUCAAAUUUCAUUUUGGACAUGUUAAGUUUGAGAUCCUUAACAGGCCGCUGUCGGAGACAUCAGGACAAAGCAAGAUGUGUCCAAACUGGUGUGCGGGGGAAUAGCUGAGGCUAGAAAUAGAAAUUGGAGGUUGUAUAAGUUUCUUAGGACUGUUGUAAAAGAUCAUCACUGGCUGACUGGCUUAAAGGAAAUUUACUCUUCCGGUAGCUCUGGAGGGUUUAAGUCCAAAAUCAAGAUGUUAGUAGGGCCUUGGGAAGAAUCAGUUCUUCUUGUCUCUUCCUAGCUUCUGAUGGUUGCUGGCAAUCCCCGACAUUCCUUGGCUUAUAGCUGUAUUGAUUCCAAUUUCUGCCUUGUCUUCAUAUCUUUGUCUGUCUUCUCUGAAGAUAAGUCAUUGGAUUAGGAUCCACUCUAAUCCUAUAUGACCUAAUCUUAAUCCCAUCUGCAAAGACCCUAUUUCAAAUGAGAUCACAUGCACGAGCACUGUGAAUGAGCACUUCAGUGUGUCUCUUUGGGGGACACCAUUUUAUCUACUGCAAGGGUCCUUAGCAGGUGGUUUUUACAGUCACGAGACUGGUUGGCAUCAACCCGGGAGGACAUGGAGUAGCAUAAGAGCUGAGAGCCAAGAACUGGCCCAUGUGGCCCUCUGACAGUUUGGAGGCAGAAAAAGGAAAAGAAUGUGGCAGAGAGGACAGAAAAGGAACAGCAAAGGUGGUAAAAAGGAAAUGCAGGAAAGCAUGGAAUUGAGAGGGCUAUUCCUCAAAGAGUGGGUCCUGGAUUGAGUCUGUCCACUUCAAUGAGUGGAUACGUCAUUAAAACAGAGUAGGUGUUCUGCAAAUUUUAUAGCAAUUUGACGUUGUCCUAUCAUUCAAACAGGUACUUAGUUUCCAUUAUUUAAUUUUUUUUUUUUUUUUAGCCUACUGGGCAUGAUGGCAUAUGCCGGUAAUCUCUCAGUGACUUGGG
rnacentral:lncRNA from 1 species